UUUCUGGGGUGGAUUAUCCACUUAAACUGUAUAGUGGAUUAUCAGCAGGUUGCCUCCCACUUUUCUCAACGUUAUUUGGAAAGUCAGAGUGAAAGUAAAAUAGUCCAACUGCGAACCAAGACGGGGUCAGUUCAUCUGGAUACUUCAAAACUCCUAAUAACGUCACAAAUCCAGUGUGUGGGUCCUCCAGUGAGUUGGAGAGAAUUGAGGAACAAUGGCACCGUUUGACACUUUGAUAUGGACUAUAACUAUUAUAGUGGUGCUUAAAAGCAUUGGAUCCUGUAUUGCAUGUGGUAGAGCUGAGUACAGAAUAGGGGAUGAAUGUUGUCCCAUGUGUCCACCAG